GGUUUCAUAGUGUAGUGGUUAUCACAUCUGCUUCACACGCAGAAGGUCCUGGGUUCAAGCCCCAGUGAAACCA